GUGGUUCCCAGCCCGGCAGCUCGAUGCCACCCUGGAGGGAAGGAGGGCCUCAACGCCUGUAAGUCCAGUGUGGACCCCACAUGCUCCCUCACCCAUCACAUCCAAACACAGGACGCAGUUACAGCAUACGUUUGGUAGACACAUAGAUCCAUAUCUAUAUAUAGAUGUCUGUGUGUAUAGAGAUGGAUAGGUACAUAGAUAGAUAGAUAAAUCUAUGCGUUCAUAUACAUUUGUGUACAUAAAUACACAAAUGUAUUUUUUUUUUUCUCUUCUUUGUUGUGGAGCACCUGGGGGAGCACACACACCCCCAGGUCUUUAUUGCAGUGGCUGGCUGAAGACUGGCCCCAUCGGGGUCAUUGCCAUCACCAUAAACAACAGCUUCGACACAGCACACAGCGUCGUGGAGGACGUCACCUCACCUCUGGCUGCCUGGACGUGACCUCUGCCAAGCCUGGAUCCACGGGGAUCCCCCUGCUGGACAAGAGAGGCGUGAAGCCGGUGUCCUUCUCGGACUGGGAGAAGAUCAACCAGGAGGGGAGGAGGGGCGCGGCCCAGGGGAAACCCCGAGAGAAGCUUCUGGACGUAGAGGAGAUGCUGAAGACCGCCCGGACCUGAACCCCAAAGUUACCUUCUAUUUCUGAAGACUCUUUCAUAACGUGGAGAACCAUCGCAAUGGCGAAAUUAACACAGUUUACCACAAGAAUAAGAUGGCAUGAAACCAUGGACUGUGUUGUAAUGCAGACCAAAAUAAGACGCAGUCAAUACAAAAAAAACAAUUUAUUAUAUUAACAUGUCGUCCAGCGGUAGCUCCAGAUGUGUGCGUCUGUGGGGCUCAGUAGAUGCCGUAGGUGUGCUCCUUGCCCUCACGGUAGCGGUCCAGGUAGCGGAGCGGCUGCCUGUGGGGGAACUUGACCUGCGGCGGGUGGUACACGGGGGGCCGCACGAACUCAAACACCGGCUCCUUCAUGUCUGCAGGAAGAAGAACACCAGUGGACAGUUUAAUGUUAAUGGAUAUAUCCUCCCAACCUCCCAAUUGUACAUUUUUUAAAUAAUAAAAUUCAAUUUUAAUUUAAUGUUUUUUCAUGUUUAACAGGAUUUAUUCACAUGAAGGUAU